rnacentral:rRNA from 1 species
CCUACGGGGGGCAGCAGUGGGGAAUAUUGGACAAUGGGGGGAACCCUGAUCCAGCAAUGCCGCGUGUGUGAAGAAGGCCUGAGGGUUGUAAAGCACUUUUGUAGAGGAGGAGGGUAAGCUAGGUUAAGAGCUAGGCUUGCUGACGUUACUCUAAGAAUAAGCACCGGCUAACUCCGUGCCAGCAGCCGCGGUAAUACGGAGGGUGCAAGCGUUAAUCGGAAUUACUGGGCGUAAAGGGUGCGUAGGCGGUUGAGUAAGUUAUCUGUGAAAUCCCUGGGCUUAACCUAGGUAGGAAAGAUAAUACUGUUCAACUUGAGUGUGAUAGAGGAUAGUGGAAUUUCCGGUGUAGCGGUGAAAUGCGUAGAGAUCGGAAGGAACACCAGUGGCGAAGGCGGCUAUCUGGAUUAACACUGACGCUGAGGCACGAAAGCGUGGGGAGCAAACAGGAUUAGAUACCCUUGUAGUC